AAUCCAUGUGUAACGGAGUUAAGCAUCUACGAUUGUGAAGCCUGAUCAAUUGUGAAAUGGGUCACUGCCCAAGCCCAAGAGGCUGCAGCGUGUGCGUCCAGAAACUUUACCUGGGAGGAGGUCCAGGAGAGGAGCAAAACCUACAAGGAGAGGCCUGAGGGCAUGGAGGGCAAGUUUGUGUUUGUUGCAGCCUUUCAGACAUGUCUUGCCUUGGGUGUUUGCGGCCAGUCCUCACACUCUGUACCGGUCAUCGGAUGAGAUGUUCAGUGAUUCUCUCUUGGUUUAUGGCCACUGCAGCUCUGAUGGGCCUGCUAGCGGACAGAUGCUCCUGGAGUCAUACACUUAGCUGCUCACUCUGCUGCCUGUGGACUUGUGUGAAGCUCUUGAAGUCACCCUAGGCCAUAGCCCCUACUUAUCCAGUAGCUGACCUACACAGAAUUUCUAAGUCAUGUCUAUUUUUAAACUUUACCUAUGGGACCUACAGGCCAUCAUGCCUGUAUUCAUCUCUGGAGAGUGGAAGGGAAGAUCUUUGGAGGCAGAGAAAGGGAGAUGGGGUCUAUAUAGUACCUGUACUAAGCUCCCUUUUGACCUCAGGGCAGUAACUGAUUGCUUCUUUCUCUGUGUCCUCACUUAAGGGAGGACUGAGCUCACUCUAGAUGAGUCCAGCGGGCAGGGGAGGGAGAAUUAGGGAGCCAAGAACAGAGAUAAGCACACAGAAGGAAAUGACCUUGUAAUUGUCCAGGGACAAGCCAGGAAGAUCUGGAGGCCAGGUGGUGUCUAGAGGGGACAAAGAAUAUGCUUCCCUGUGCUCAGCAGCAAGUUAAGAGCUCCAGAGCCGAAAAAGAGGAAGAUCAAAGCAUGGUCCAUACCAGGGGAGGAAAGGCAGGCCAGUGUUGAUUGGUGUAGCCCCAGCAGAGUGCAUCACAGAAGCUGCUGACUCUGGAGGCCUGUUUGAUCUCACCCCAAGUUAUGGUCUGCUGGCCUUGCAGCUGCAGAGGUGAUGGUAGAUGUUAAGAAGGAAGACUCUUACUGUUUCUGGCAGAGGCAGAGAGAGGGGAGCUGGGAUGCUGGGGAUUAUAAAGUGUGACCGUUGGGGAGGAUGGCGUCCUUCAAGAUAGCUCACUCUGCGUUCCUGCAACCCCCAGCCAAUCAGCCCUCAGGUGUGCUGUGUGGCUAUUCAACAUAGCACUGACUAACAUAGAAGUAAGUGGCAUACUUAGUCAUUCCUCCUGGACUUGGAAGCCACUAGAUAGAAGUUGAUGCCAGGGUGCUGACCUAUCCUGGCUUACCUCUGCAUAUGAUGAUAACUGACAUUCUCAUGUGCCAGGCACUGUUCUAGGCACUUUACAAGUGUGCCAUUUAAUCCUCAAUAGCUUAUAAAGUGGAUACUUCUAUAAUGUUAUGUGGAGAUGAGAAAACUAAAGCACAGAGUUGUUAAGCAACACUCCUCCAAAAAACCCAGCCAAUAGAUGCCAGAGCAAGGGUUUGAACCUAGACAGUCUAGUUCCAGAGUGUAUAUUUUUUUAAAAGAGAGAAAGAGAGUGAGCCGGAGGAGGGGAGGGGCAGAGGGAGAAGGAAAGGAAGAAUCUCAAGCAGGCUCCAUGUUCAGCAUAGAGCCUGAUGCAGGGCUUGAUCUCACGCUGCUGAGAUCAUGACCUGAGCCAAAAUCGAGAGUUGGACACUUAACCAACUGAGCCACUACAGGCACCCCCCGAGUGUGUAUUUUUAACCACUAGGCUAUACUGAUUGUGUCAUUUAAUCAUUGUUUUCCUUUUCUUCUGCUCCUUCCAAGGUCCUAAGGACUCAGGGCCCAUUGUCUUUUAGGUUUAGCUGAGAUUACUCCUCUUCUAGAGCCUUGGCCAACAUCCUUGUCUGCCCCAAUUCUAUGAACUCCAGGUCUACUCAUGUAGCUCUUCCAGUUUCUCUCCAUUUCUUCUUGUCUAAGCUUACCAGAUUUAGCAAAAAAUAAAAGAACAAAACCAAGAAAGCA
rnacentral:lncRNA from 12 species